rnacentral:rRNA from 1 species
AGAGUUUGAUCCUGGCUCAGGAUAAACGCUGGCGGCGUGCUUUAUGCAUGCAAGUCGAACGGUACCGAUGAGCCAAGCUUGCUUGGAACAUCGGGAGAGUGGCAAACGGGUGAGUAACACGUAAGUAACCUACCCCUAAGUAGGGGAUAACUCUGAGAAAUUGGAGCUAAUACCGUAUGUGGUGGUGGAGGUAAGGCUUCAUCACUAAAGCCUUCGGGCGCUUGGGGAGGGGCUUGUGUCCGAUUAGCUAGUUGGUAGGGUAAUGGUUUACCAAGGCGAUGAUCGGUAGCUGGUCUGAGAGGACGAUCAGCCACACUGGGACUGAGACACGGCCCAGACUCCUAUGGGAGGCAGCAGCAAGGAAUUUUGUGCAAUGGGCGAAAGCCUGACACAGCGACGCCGCGUGGGGGAUGAAGGCCUUCGGGUUGUAAACCUCUUUUCUCAGGGAAGAAUAAUGACGGUACCUGAGGAAUAAGUCUCGGCUAACUACGUGCCAGCAGCCGCGGUAAUACGUAGGAGGCGAGCGUUAUCCGGAUUUACUGGGCGUAAAGAGGGCGUAGGCGGCUUUUCAAGUCGGGUGUAAAAUCUCCCCGCUUAACGGGGAGGGGUCAUCCGAUACUGUUAAGCUAGAGGGCAGCAGAGGGAGGUGGAAUUCCCGGUGGAGUGGUGAAAUGCGUAGAUAUCGGGAGGAACACCAGUGGCGAAAGCGGGCCUCCUGGGCUGUUUCUGACGUUGAGGCCCGAAAGCGUGGGGAGCGAACAGGAUUAGAUACCCUGGUAGUCCACGCUGUCACGAUGGAUACUAGGUAUAGGGAGUAUCGACCCUCUCUGUGCCGAGCUACGCGUUAGUAUCCCGCUGGGGACUACGGCGCAGCUAAACUCAAGAUUGACGGGGCCCGCACAGCAGCGGAGCGUGUGGUUUAUCGAUGCACGCGAGACUACAGCUGACAUGACGAGUAGCACUGAAAGGGAGUCACUGUGAGUCAGACCGUCAAGUGCUGCAUGAUGUCGUCAGCUCUGCCGUGAAGGGUGUAAGUCCUGUACGAGGCCAACCCCGUUGCAGUGUUUU